GAUGAACGCUGGCGGCGUGCCUAAUACAUGCAAGUCGAGCGAACAGACGAGGAGCUUGCUCCUCUGACGUUAGCGGCGGACGGGUGAGUAACACGUGGAUAACCUACCUAUAAGACUGGGAUAACUUCGGGAAACCGGCGCUAAUACCGGAUAACAUGUUGAACCGCAUGGUUCAACAGUGAAAGACGGUCUUGCUGUCACUUAUAGAUGGAUCCGCGCCGCAUUAGCUAGUUGGUAAGGUAACGGCUUACCAAGGCAACGAUGCGUAGCCGACCUGAGAGGGUGAUCGGCCACACUGGAACUGAGACACGGUCCAGACUCCUACGGGAGGCAGCAGUAGGGAAUCUGCCGCAAUGGGCGAAAGCCUGACGGAGCAACGCCGCGUGAGUGAAGAAGGUCUUCGGAUCGUAAAACUCUGUUAUUAGGGAAGAACAAAUGUGUAAGUAACUAUGCACGUCUUGACGGUACCUAAUCAGAAAGCCACGGCUAACUACGUG
rnacentral:rRNA from 1 species